UACGAAGGGGCUAGCGUUGUUCGGAAUUACUGGGCGUAAAGCGCACGUAGGCGGAUACUUAAGUCAGGGGUGAAAUCCCGGGGCUCAACCCGGAACUGCCUUUGAUACUGGGUAUCUCGAGUCCGGAAGAGGUGAGUGGAAUUCCGAGUGUAGAGGUGAAAUUCGUAGAUAUUCGGAGGAACACCAGUGGCGAAGGCGGCUCACUGGUCCGGUACUGACGCUGAGGUGCGAAAGCGUGGGAGCAA
rnacentral:rRNA from 1 species